rnacentral:rRNA from 1 species
ACGGGAGGCAGCAGUGGGGAAUAUUGGGCAAUGGGCGAAAGCCUGACCCAGCAACGCCGCGUGAAGGAUGAAGGUCUUCGGAUUGUAAACUUCUUUGAUCAGGGACGAAUUUUGACGGUACCUUAAGAACAAGUCACGGCUAACUACGUGCCAGCAGCCGCGGUAAUACGUAGGUGACAAGCGUUAUCCGGAUUUACUGGGUGUAAAGGGCGUGUAGGCGGUUUUGCAAGUCAGAUGUGAAAUUCCCGGGCUUAACUUGGGCGCUGCAUCUGAAACUGCAGAACUUGAGUACUGGAGGGGAUAGCGGAAUUCCUAGUGUAGCGGUAAAAUGCGCAGAUAUUAGGAGGAACACCGGUGGCGAAGGCGGCUAUCUGGACAGUAACUGACGCUGAGGCGCGAAAGCGUGGGGAGCAAACAGGAUUAGAUACCCUGGUA